GCAGUCGAGCGAACAGAUAAGGAGCUUGCUCCUUUGACGUUAGCGGCGGACGGGUGAGUAACACGUGGGUAACCUACCUAUAAGACUGGGAUAACUUCGGGAAACCGGAGCUAAUACCGGAUAACAUUUGGAACCGCAUGGUUCUAAAGUGAAAGAUGGUUUUGCUAUCACUUAUAGAUGGACCCGCGCCGUAUUAGCUAGUUGGUAAGGUAACGGCUUACCAAGGCGACGAUACGUAGCCGACCUGAGAGGGUGAUCGGCCACACUGGAACUGAGACACGGUCCAGACUCCUACGGGAGGCAGCAGUAGGGAAUCUUCCGCAAUGGGCGAAAGCCUGACGGAGCAACGCCGCGUGAGUGAUGAAGGGUUUCGGCUCGUAAAACUCUGUUAUUAGGGAAGAACAAACGUGUAAGUAACUGUGCAUGUCUUGACGGUACCUAAUCAGAAAGCCACGGCUAACUACGUGCCAGCAGCCGCGGUAAUACGUAGGUGGCAAGCGUUAUCCGGAAUUAUUGGGCGUAAAGCGCGCGUAGGCGGUUUCUUAAGUCUGAUGUGAAAGCCCACGGCUCAACCGUGGAGGGUCAUUGGAAACUGGGAAACUUGAGUGCAGAAGAGGAAAGUGGAAUUCCAUGUGUAGCGGUGAAAUGCGCAGAGAUAUGGAGGAACACCAGUGGCGAAGGCGACUUUCUGGUCUGUAACUGACGCUGAUGUGCGAAAGCGUGGGGAUCAAACAGGAUUAGAUACCCUGGUAGUCCACGCCGUAAACGAUGAGUGCUAAGUGUUAGGGGGUUUCCGCCCCUUAGUGCUGCAGCUAACGCAUUAAGCACUCCGCCUGGGGAGUACGACCGCAAGGUUGAAACUCAAAGGAAUUGACGGGGACCCGCACAAGCGGUGGAGCAUGUGGUUUAAUUCGAAGCAACGCGAAGAACCUUACCAAAUCUUGACAUCCUUUGAAAACUCUAGAGAUAGAGCCUUCCCCUUCGGGGGACAAAGUGACAGGUGGUGCAUGGUUGUCGUCAGCUCGUGUCGUGAGAUGUUGGGUUAAGUCCCGCAACGAGCGCAACCCUUAAGCUUAGUUGCCAUCAUUAAGUUGGGCACUCUAGGUUGACUGCCGGUGACAAACCGGAGGAAGGUGGGGAUGACGUCAAAUCAUCAUGCCCCUUAUGAUUUGGGCUACACACGUGCUACAAUGGACAAUACAAAGGGCAGCUAAACCGCGAGGUCAUGCAAAUCCCAUAAAGUUGUUCUCAGUUCGGAUUGUAGUCUGCAACUCGACUACAUGAAGCUGGAAUCGCUAGUAAUCGUAGAUCAGCAUGCUACGGUGAAUACGUUCCCGGGUCUUGUACACACCGCCCGUCACACCACGAGAGUUUGUAACACCCGAAGCCGGUGGAGUAACCAUUUAUGGAGCUAGCC
rnacentral:rRNA from 1 species